GAUGAACGCUGGCGGCGUGCCUAAUACAUGCAAGUCGAGCGAAUGGAUUAAGAGCUUGCUCUUAUGAAGUUAGCGGCGGACGGGUGAGUAACACGUGGGUAACCUGCCCAUAAGACUGGGAUAACUCCGGGAAACCGGGGCUAAUACCGGAUAACAUUUUGAACCGCAUGGUUCGAAAUUGAAAGGCGGCUUCGGCUGUCACUUAUGGAUGGACCCGCGUCGCAUUAGCUAGUUGGUGAGGUAACGGCUCACCAAGGCAACGAUGCGUAGCCGACGUGGGAGGGUGAUCGGCCACACUGGGACUGAGACACGGCCCAGACUCCGACGGGAGGUAGCAGUAGGGAAUCUUCCGCAAUGGGCGAAAGUCUGACAGAGCAACGCCGCGUGAGUGAUGAAGGCUUUCGGGUCGUAAGACGCUGUUGUUAGGGAAGAAGAAGUGCUAGUUGAAUAAGCUGGCACCUUGACGGUACCUAACCAGAAAGCCACGGCUAACUACGUGCCAGCCGCCGCGGUAA
rnacentral:rRNA from 1 species